AUCGAUCCAUUGAAAUAAAUUUGUCCAUGCUAAAUCGCUAAGUGAUACUGCACACAGCAUUUCGCCCGUCGUGCACAGGCCGGCUGCGAGUUAGAAGGAUCGGGUUUCUAAGGUCUCCUCGACCGUCCAUCCGUCCGUCCGUCCGUCCAUGACGCGCGGGGAAAGAGCGUGAGAGAGAAAGAAGAAAAAAACGAGGGGGGGAAAGAGACGAGAACCACCUUACGGAACUCGUCUCGUGAGAAUUCGGGGUUGACCCUCCUGUGAUGCCCCUGUCUUUUAUUCGCGAAAUGAUCGUUUGAGGUGCGCGCCUAAGAGCAAAACUUCAGUCUGCGAUCACGUGCUUUCGCGCGAAGCAGUGUGCCACGUGUCCGUGAUUCGAUUCGAGUUUCCGCGUCGUCGUCGUCAUCGUCGUCAUCGUGGUCGUCGUUAUCGUCGCUGCGUGUUAAUUAGAGUAUUGAUCGUUUUUAAACGCGUGUCCCGUCUGUACAGCGAUCGCGUACUCGUCCCCGUGGUCGAUAGUCCCGCGUGAUCAGCGGAGUAUGUCGCUCGCACUCAAGUACUUCAAGAAGACGCCGAUCUACGUGGUGGAGGGCCACGAUGAGGUUUUACCCUUCAUAUAUCGGUGUCUGGGCUCGAAACACCUGCCCUUCCAAGACAACACGUUCAUACAUCUGGAUUCGCAUCCCGAUAUGGUGAUACCGCCAGCGAUGCAGGCCGACAUCGUUUGGGAUAAGCUCCGAUUAUUCAGCGAGCUCAGUAUCGAGAAUUGGAUCUUGCCUGCAGUGUAUGCGGGUCACUUCAAGUACCUCAUCUGGGUGAAACCACCGUGGGCUAAUCAGAUGCAGGAUGGUGUGCAGACGUUCCUCAUCGGCAAGCACAAGGACAACGGCUUGAUAAGGUUAGUCUAUUUAUCGUUUAAGCGUGGAUGAUAUUGGCGGAAGAUGAAUAGGGAAAUGCAAAACUCGCGCACCGCGAGUAUCAGUUUCUUAUUAGCGGACCGAAAAACUAAUUACCAGGUAACCGCUUCACUCUACGUCCGCAAAAUGACUCAUCUUUCGAAGCGAUGGAAUCAACGACCCGACGAACUUCCGUAGGCGGAAAGCGAAGGAAGCUCUCCAGCGGUCACAUCGUCACGGCGAUCGCGGAUUCUCGAUAGAAAACACGAAAACGGCGCAUCACGUGUACUCGCGACUUGACCUUGACUCGCCGCGGCGUCGGAACGCUAAGAGGUUUACCUCGGUAAACCCUGGUAUCUCGGGAUACCACUCGGGGUCUCGGUCGAGGGAUUAAGACGGGGUUGUUGAGCAGCAGGACGACACGCGGGGCGACGGUGACGCUGACAGAGAGACAGAGAGAGGCGGGGAGAAGACGCGGGGGCGAGAAUGAGAAAGGAAAAGGAGAGAGAGCCUGUAACCGUACGCCCGUAUAAUUGAUUGAGUCUAAUGAGUUAAAGAGGAUGUGCCACGGUCGCGCUCGAUGGCAAAAAUUAAAGAGUUCCGUCUAGGUCAUGAAGGCGACAGCGGGGCCGCGGCACAGAGAAAGUACGGGAACUUGGCUACUUCCCCCUCUCCGCCCCUUCGUUGACCCCCUCCCGCCCCCCUCCCCUCCGUCAGCCCCUCGCCGCGCUUCUUCCGGCAUCUCAUUCGGCGUCCACGUCGACCGUCGGCGCGGGAAGCGCUGAUUGUAAAUUAGUUAAAGGAGAUGCUUCAUUAGGCGGGGAGAGACCGUCUCGCGCUUCUUGAAGGCCUCCCUGCGUUUAGCUGUUUUUAAAGGGGCUCGCGCGGCAUAAUAACCGGCGCUCUCCUCCGUGGAGGCGCGCGCGCCCGAGCAAUUACGUAACUCCAUAAGAGACGAGAUGAAACGAGCUGCGUUUUAUUAUCGGCGAAACGACUGCGACUGCGACUGCGACGGAGGACGAGUCGGGUUUUUCAGUCACGCGAUCGCGCGCCGGCUUUCCACCUUUUCCGUUGAUUUUUAUUCCCGCGGCGGGGAUGAGGUCACGGCCGAGAGACGAGUUAUGAAUAACACGAGCGAGAUACGCGGUAACGAGAGUCGUGCACUCGCUCGAUGAUUGUUGCAAGAUAUAUUUGUAGAUCUCCUAUCUCUCACACGUAUCGCGUUCGCGUACUCCUACUACCUAGGAUAUAUAUAUAUCUAUUGCGAAUCUCCCUGACUUCUUUGUACACGCAUAAUUGGUUGGCGUAUGAGCGGACAAGUAGUCCGGAUGCUUGAUGGAAAAAUUACAAUCACACCAAUUACUCAAUGGAAAAGUAGUAUCAGCGAUCGCUCACGAGCAAUCAAGUGUUUCGAAAUGAAAUGCAAGUGGGUAGAAUUCCCACGUGUUCGAGCGAACAUUCCUCGCUCUCCUCUCCGAGGAGGACUCAAACGCAGCGGAUAUAUUAAGAGUAUUUAUAGACAGUUACGCGUACUUCCAAAUGAGGCACACUUAAAAGUCCGCAGACAAAGCUGUUAUUUGAUCAAUCGAUUUUAUAACAAGUUGAACAGCUUUCCCACAUAAGUAGCUCAUAAAAAAAUACUGCUUACAUCCACGUAAAUUUUCAUGACUAUCACGACGUGAGAUAAUCAAUGAAGGACAAUCAAUGAAGGACAAUCAAUGAAGGACAUUUUUUUAUUAUAUUUAUGAAGCAAAUUUACUGUGUUGAAUUAAUUAUUAAAUUAUUUAACAUAUUAAUGCAAUUAUCAAAUAUAUUAAAUUUUUUAUUAUAUUAAUGUAGCAAAAAAUUUGGUAAAAGUUUUACUCAGAUUUUUGUAUCUCACACGACACUUUAAUUUAAAAAUAUUUUCCUUAUUUAUACUUGCGCUAUAUAUAAACUACUCGUUAGGAAUUCAACCAAAUCGACUGGAAAAUUUACUAUCAAAUUUAUUUACUCUACCUAUUUGGGUAUAUUAUAUAGUGUUCUCAAGUGGAAACUGAUAAAGAAUAAGCAUUUUGCAAUUAAGAGAAACCGAGGCUAGUUGACUAUCGGGGUAAGCUGACAAAAUUUAGAAAAGAAGCCUGCCACUUUCUAACAAGUUACAGAAUUACAAAAAAACAAGCAAGAUUUUUGUCAACAUAUUAGAAAUGACUUUUAAAUCCCUGUUUGCUUGAUUCUGAAAUCUUAAAGAACAGUAGAAAUAAUCAAUUUUGCCAGCUUUUACUCCAGUAGCCAGCUAACCCUCCCUUAUUUGCCUAGAUAGACAGGUGUACGUAUAUUUGGCAGUAACUGUCUAUUUGUUAAAAGUUGCAUCCCUUAUGAAUGAUUAUGUACGGCAUUCAUUUAUUUAUCGCGCGGAAUGGCGAAGUAAAAAUACGAAAAAGAUGAUAAAAAUUCGCUCAAGACACUAAGUCAUUUAACAUGUAACAUGAAAAUCUGGGGGAAAACUUUCAGCAAAUUUCUUGCUGUACAUCAAUAUAUCUAAAGAUUCACGCUAUUUUAUGAUGUAAAUUUCGUAAUUAAUUAGUAUAUUCGCUUCAUAAAUAUAAUGAAGACAAAGUUUGUCUGGUUUGUGAUAACUGCCGGGAACCUCUCUAAUAAUUAAGUCUCGAAUUUCGUAGGGUUUUGCCAUUAACUUAACCGAUUACGUCGGAGAGGAAGCAGAGACGAACGCCUCGCGAGUCUCGCUCGACAUGCGAGAGCCUCGAAUCCGCUUCGAAGCGAAUUACCCAGUUCGCUCCCCUCCUAUCCCAAUCGGAGCGUUUACGGGCCCGUCUCUCUCGUCUACGCGAUAUUACUUUUCGGCAGGCUCGCGGGCUUCGCGCGCUGGCUCGCUCUCGUCGACGUCUUUUCAAUUUGCACAGAGAUGAAAAAGGUGGUAGCGGCGAUAGGUAGAUAGCGAAACGGACGGCGGACGCAAGGGGAACGUCCGUGGACUGACGCGGCGCAGUGUGCGGCAGGACGGAGGCACCGUCGCGGCUGGCGCGGUGUCUUCCGCAUCCCCAAGGGAAAUUAUUGACAGUCAGCGAGGAAAUGACGUCGUAAAUACCACGCCAAGGCGAAGCCGCCGCCAGCCCGCCCAUCCGCUCGCUUUUCUGCUCUUGCUCCUCCAAUUCCUCCACCACUCUUUCGUUCUGCACAUCGUCCUUCGUCCUCCAUCCGUGGGUUUUCUUAGCUCCCUUCCUUGCGCGUGUGCUACGUUAAUCCUAGCAAAUGUUUCCAACGCGCUCGCGGGCUAGGAAAGUACGCCCGUCUACUUGCGUAUACGGACCGACAUAACAUUCACGCAAUAUAAUUAAUUUUUUACUAAUAUUUACUAACCAUGUUAUGGUCACUAAUAUUUUCUAACGGUACAUUUGUUCCUGAAUAUUAAAAUAAAGUUAUCACAAUGACAGAUUAAGAUGGAAAUACCAGGAUGUCUGAAAAUGUACCUAAUUCUAGACAUUUUUAUUAUUUCAGUCUCUAAAUACGAAAAUUUAAACUUCCAACAAUCUUUAAAUACCAAAAUUAAACUUAUA